UGGGGAAUUUUCCGCAAUGGGCGAAAGCCUGACGGAGCAAUACCGCGUGAGGGAUGAAUGCCUGUGGGUUGUAAACCUCUUUUUUCAAGAAAGAAGAUCUGACGUUACUUGAAGAAUAAGCAUCGGCUAACUCU
rnacentral:rRNA from 1 species